UCUACGGAGAGUUUGAUCCUGGCUCAGGACGAACGCUGGCGGCGUGCUUAACACAUGCAAGUCGAGCGGUGAACCGGGCUUCGGCCCGGGGAUCAGCGGCGAACGGGU
rnacentral:rRNA from 1 species